AUUGAACGCUGGCGGCAUGCCUUACACAUGCAAGUCGAACGGCAGCACGGGUGCUUGCACCUGGCGGCGAGUGGCGAACGGGUGAGUAAUAUAUCGGAACGUACCUUAUUGUGGGGGAUAACGCAGCGAAAGCUGUGCUAAUACCGCAUAAUCCCUAAGGGGGAAAGCGGGGGACCGUAAGGCCUCGCGCAAUUAGAGCGGCCGAUACCUGAUUAGCUAGUUGGUGAGGUAAAGGCUCACCAAGGCAGCGAUCAGUAGCUGGUCUGAGAGGACGAGAAGCCACACUGGGACUGAGACACGGCCCAGACUCCUACGGGAGGCAGCAGUGGGGAAUUUUGGACAAUGGGGGCAACCCUGAUCCAGCAAUGCCGCGUGAGUGAAGAAGGCCUUCGGGUUGUAAAGCUCUUUUGUCAGGGAAGAAACAGCAGCUCUAACACAGUUUGCGAAUGACGGUACCUGAAGAAUAAGCACCGGCUAACUACGUGCCAGCAGCCGCCGUAA
rnacentral:rRNA from 1 species